rnacentral:lncRNA from 1 species
GUAUUAUCAUUAAAGGAACCAGGAUAAUACCCUGCUCUAUUGAAGAACUAUGGCUAGAGUUCUUUCCCUCAAGUGAGUUUUGGACCAGAAUCUCUCUGUCCCAUCUCAUCGGAACACCCACUUGACUGCCUAAUCACUUCACAGAGCUGACAUCAGGGUUACUUUGUUGCUUCCACUGACCGAGCUCCAGCAGGAAGCACAUAAGCCAAGGAAGAUGUUAGCAGGAUAAGAUACAUGAGGUGUGUGGUGCUGAUCAACCAAUAAUUUUGCAGAAUAACAAAACCAACCUCUCUUAAA